rnacentral:rRNA from 1 species
GGUUUGAUUAUGGCUCAGAUUGAACGCUAGCGGGAUGCCUUACACAUGCAAGUCGAACGGCAGCACGGACUUCGGUCUGGUGGCGAGUGGCGAACGGGUGAGUACGUAUUGAACGCCCAGGAGACCAUGAAAGAAGCGACACGGCACAUAUUCUACGGGGGAAAAAGUAGGAUCAAAGACCUUGCACUAUUGGAGCGGCCGAUAUCGGAUUAGCUAGUUGGGUGGGGUAACGGCUCACCAAGGCGACGAUCCGUAGCUGGUUUGAGAGGACGACCAGCCACACCUGGGACUGAGACACGGCCCAGACUCCUACGCAGGUGGCAGUGGGGAAUGGACGAAUGGGGAAACUCCCGAUCCAGCUAUCCCGCGUGCGAUGAAGGCCUUCGGGUUGUAAAGCAUCUGGCAGGAAAGAAAACGUCGUGGUUAAUAUCCGCGAAACCGACGGUACCAGAAUAUGACCGUUAACCACGUGCCAGCAGCUGCGUAAUACGUAGGGUGUUAAUCGGAAUUACUGGGCGUAAAGCGUGCAGGCAGCCUGGAAAGGAAAGAUGAAAUCCCAGAGCUGACUUUGAACUGCAUUUUUAACUACCGCUAGAGUGUGUCAGAGGAGAAUUCUCAUGUGGGGCAGCAAAUGGCAGAUAUGUGAGAACAUAUGCAGGCAGCCUCCGGGGAUAACAUCGACGCUCAUGCACGAAAGCGUGGGAGCAAACAGGAUUAGAUACCCUGGUAGUCCACGCCCAAACGAUGUCAAUCAGUUGGGCUUCGGCCUAGUAGCAGUGUUAACGCGUGAAGUUGACCGCCUGGGGAGUACGGUCGCAAGAUUAAACCGGGGCAAUACGACGGACCCGCACGUUGUGGUGGAGGAUGUGGAUUAAUUCGAGGUAACGAAAAACCUUUACCUACCCUUGACAUGUCUGGAAUGAAGAGAUUUGGCAGUGCUCGCAGUUGAGAACCGGAACACAGGUGCUGUACGUAUUGUCGCCACUGGUGUGUCGAGAUGUUGGGUUAAGUCCCGCAACGAGCGCAACCUUUAUUGUUAGCGCCACAUACAGCGCGCCAGCAAAUUUAACGAGAUCGCCGGUGACAAACCGGAGCAGCUGCGUGUGGAUGACGUCGUCCUCAUGGCCCUUAUGGGUAGGGCUUCACACGUCAUACAAUGGUCGGGACAGAGGUCGCCAACCCGCGAGGGGGAGCCAAUCCCAGAAACCCGAUCGUAGUCCGGAUCGCGAACAACUCGACUGCGUGAAGUCGAAUCGCUAGUAAUCGCGUGAUCAACAAAGUAUGUCGCGGUGAAUACGUUCUCGUCUUGUACACACCGCCUGUCACACCAUGGGAGUGGGUUUUACCAGGCGAAGUUACUUCCAACCGCAAGGGGGGCGAUUACCACGGUAGGAUUCCAUGAUCAAAGAAGUCGCAUUGCAG